rnacentral:rRNA from 1 species
AAAGUCUGACCUGCCCAAUGAAUUUUAUUUUAAAUGGCCGCGAUAUUUUGAUCGUGCUAAGGUAGCAUAAUAAUUAGUUUUUUAAUUGAGAACUGGUAUGAAUGGUUGGACGAGAAAAAAACUGUCUCAGUUUAAUUUUAAUUAGAAUUUUAUUUUUAAGUUAAAAAGCUUAAAUAAAUUUAAAAGACGAGAAGACCCUAUAGAGUUUUAUAUAAUAUUUGUUUUUAAUAUUAAAGUAUUUAAAUUUUAUUAAUUUAUAUUAUAUUUAGUUGGGGUGACUUAAAAAUUAAAUAAACUUUUUAUUAAUUAAACCAUUAAUUUAUGAUUAAAUGAUCCA